GAGUAAUGUAUAGGAAUCUACCUAGUAGUACGGAAUAAUUGUUGGAAACGGCAACUAAUACCGUAUACGCCCUACGGGGGAAAGAUUUAUCGCUAUUAGAUGAGCCUAUAUUAGAUUAGCUAGUUGGUAAGGUAAUGGCUUACCAAGGCAAUGAUCUAUAGCUGAUCUGAGGGGAUGAUCAGCCACACUGGAGCUGAGAUACGGUCCAGACUCCUACGGGAGGCAGCAGUGGGGAAUAUUGGACAAUGGGGGAAAGCCUGAUCCAGCCAUGCCGCAUGAGUGAAGAAGGCCUUUGGGUUAUAAAGCUCUUUCGGUGAGGAAGAUAAUGACGGUACUCACAGAAGAAGUCCUGGCUAACUCCGUGCCAGCAGCCGCGGUAAUACGGAGAGGGCUAGCGUUAUUCGGAAUUNUUGGGCGUAAAGGGCGCGUAGGCGGAUUANUNAGUUAAAAGUGAAAUCCAAAGCUCAACUUUGGANNUGCUUUUAAAACUGCUAACCUAGANAUUGAAAGAGGAUAGAGGANNUCCUAGUGUAGAGGUGAAAUUC
rnacentral:rRNA from 1 species